rnacentral:rRNA from 1 species
GAUUAGAGUUUGAUCCUGGCUCAGAUUGAACGCUGGCGGAAUGCUUUACACAUGCAAGUCGAGCGGCAGCGCGGGGGCAACCCUGGCGGCGAGCGGCGAACGGGUGAGUAACAUAUCGGAACGUACCCUAUCGUGGGGGAUAACACAUCGAAAGAUGUGCUAAUACCGCAUACGACCUGAGGGUGAAAGCAGGGGAUCGCAAGACCUUGCGCGACAGGAGCGGCCGAUAUCGGAUUAGCUAGUUGGUGAGGUAAAGGCUCACCAAGGCGACGAUCCGUAGCUGGUCUGAGAGGACGACCAGCCACACUGGAACUGAGACACGGUCCAGACUCCUACGGGAGGCAGCAGUGGGGAAUUUUGGACAAUGGGGGCAAGCCUGAUCCAGCCAUUCCGCGUGAGUGAAGAAGGCCUUCGGGUUGUAAAACUCUUUCGGCAGGAACGAAACGGUGAGCUCUAACAUAGCUUGCUAAUGACGGUACCGAAGAAGAAGCC